rnacentral:rRNA from 1 species
GGGGGGGGCAAGCGUUGUUCGGAAUUACUGGGCGUAAAGGGCCAGUAGGCGGCCAACUAAGUCGGAUGUGAAAUCCCCAGGCUCAACCUGGGAACUGCAUCCGAUACUGGAUGGCUUGAAUUCGGGAGAGGGAUGCAGAAUUCCAGGUGUAGCGGUGAAAUGCGUAGAUAUCUGGAGGAAUACCGGUGGCGAAGGCGGCAUCCUGGACCGACAUUGACGCUGAACGGCGAAAGCUAGGGGAGCAAACGGGAUUAGAUACCCCGGUAGUCCUAGCCCUAAACGAUGAAUGCUUGGUGUGACGGGUAUCGAUCCCUGUCGUGCCGAAGCUAACGCAUUAAGCAUUCCGCCUGGGGAGUACGGUCGCAAGGCUGAA